GACGAACGCUGGCGGCGUGCUUAACACAUGCAAGUCGAACGGAAAGGCCCUGCUUUUGUGGGGUGCUCGAGUGGCGAACGGGUGAGUAACACGUGAGUAACCUGCCCUUGACUUUGGGAUAACUUCAGGAAACUGGGGCUAAUACCGGAUAGGAGCUCCUGCUGCAUGGUGGGGGUUGGAAAGUUUCGGCGGUUGGGGAUGGACUCGCGGCUUAUCAGCUUGUUGGUGGGGUAGUGGCUUACCAAGGCUUUGACGGGUAGCCGGCCUGAGAGGGUGACCGGCCACAUUGGGACUGAGAUACGGCCCAGACUCCUACGGGAGGCAGGAGUGGGGAAUAGUGCACAAUGGGCGGAAGCCUGAUGCAGCAACGCCGCGUGCGGGAUGACGGCCUUCGGGUUGUAAACCGCUUUCGCCUGUGACGAAGCGUGAGUGACGGUAAUGGGUAAAGAAGCACCGGCUAACUACGU
rnacentral:rRNA from 1 species